rnacentral:lncRNA from 1 species
CCGACUCCAAUAGAGCACUCAUUUUGGGCCACUCAGUCUAGCUACUUUGUCGUAUCACCCAGUCGAAGAGGUGCAGCAACAGAUUGGUACUAGAGAAAGUAAAUAUCUUGAUCCUAUUUUCUUGAAGAAGAAGGUGCAGACGAGGUCCCAUCGGUAGUCUUCCCUGCAUAAUGCACUUGAUGCAUAAGACGUUGAAGAGUAGCCUCCCCG